CAAACUCUCCCAAAAAGUAGAGAUUAAACAACAACUAAAGAUGGCGAAUCAUAGAAGUUACCACCAUUCCUGGUAUUGGUCCCAGUUCUUCUAAGAAUAUUUUUGAUGCAAGAGCUGUUUUAUCUUGAAUCCUACAUAGCUUAUUUUCCAUUUUUCCAUUCAAAUAAAACAACAAGAGAACAAUAGAGUGAAGAAAAAGGAUGUUUAAGCCUAAAUCCAAGACUGAGGUACAAGACCAAGAAAAGUGGGGCAGAAGAUGGAAAAGAACAAGUGAAGAAUCUUGGAAACAAUUCAAAGGCACGUUGGAUUCUUUGCUUGUAAUAAG
rnacentral:lncRNA from 1 species